rnacentral:rRNA from 1 species
UCGACUUCUGGAAGGGACUCGACUUCUGGAAGGGACGUAUUUCUUAGAUGGARACCAUUGCGGGGCAACCCGGAUUUUGGUGAUUCAUAAUAACUUUCGGAUCGAUCUUCGGAUCGAUGCAUCAUUCAAGUUUCUGCCCUAUCACCUUUGGAUGGUAGGGUAUUGGCCUACCAUGGCUUUAACGGGUAACGGAGAAUUA